rnacentral:rRNA from 1 species
GCAAGUCGAACGAACUCUGGUAUUGAUUGGUGCUUGCAUCAUGAUUUACAUUGAGUGAGUGGCGAACUGGUGAGUAACACGUGGGAAACCUGCCCAGAAGCGGGGGAUAACACCUGGAAACAGAUGCUAAUACCGCAUAACAACUUGGACCGCAUGGUCCGAGCUUGAAAGAUGGCUUCGGCUAUCACUUUUGGAUGGUCCCGCGGCGUAUUAGCUAGAUGGUGGGGUAACGGCUCACCAUGGCAAUGAUACGUAGCCGACCUGAGAGGGGUAAUCGGGCCACAUUGGGACUGAGACACGGCCCAAACUCCUACGGGAGGCAGCAGUAGGGAAUCUUCCACAAUGGACGAAAGUCUGAUGGAGCAACGCCGCGUGAGUGAAGAAGGGUUUCGGCUCGUAAAACUCUGUUGUUAAAGAAGAACAUAUCUGAGAGUAACUGUUCAGGUAUUGACGGUAUUUAACCAGAAAAGCCACGGCUAACUACGUGCCAGCAGCCGCGGUAAUACGUAGGUGGC